CGAACCAAGUAGAAGCUCCCGCUUCUCACCUGUAGCGACGCUAAAUGCAGUUGGCAGGUCUAUAUAUACAUGAAAAUAUCAUGUGUAGAGAAGAGCGGGUAUAUUAUAUACUCGCUCUUUUUGCUUGGG
rfam:Staphylococcus cohnii subsp. cohnii strain 073AN genome assembly, contig: ERS576551SCcontig000006